rnacentral:rRNA from 1 species
GAUGAACGCUGACAGAAUGCUUAACACAUGCAAGUCAACUUGAAUUUGGGUUUUUAACUUAGAUUUGGGUGGCGGACGGGUGAGUAACGCGUAAAGAACUUGCCUCACAGCUAGGGACAACAUUUAGAAAUGAAUGCUAAUACCUGAUAUUAUGAUUUUAAGGCAUCUUAGAAUUAUGAAAGCUAUAUGCGCUGUGAGAGAGCUUUGCGUCCCAUUAGCUAGUUGGAGAGGUAACGGCUCACCAAGGCGAUGAUGGGUAGCCGGCCUGAGAGGGUGAUCGGCCACAAGGGGACUGAGACACGGCCCUUACUCCUACGGGAGGCAGCAGUGGGGAAUAUUGGACAAUGGACCAAGAGUCUGAUCCAGCAAUUCUGUGUGCACGAUGAAGUUUUUCGGAAUGUAAAGUGCUUUCAGUUGGGAAGAAAAAAAUGACGGUACCAACAGAAGAAGUGACGGCUAAAUACGUGCCAGCAGCCGCGGUAAUACGUAUGUCACAAGCGUUAUCCGGAUUUAUUGGGCGUAAAGCGCGUCUAGGUGGUUAUAUAAGUCUGAUGUGAAAAUGCAGGGCUCAACUCUGUAUUGCGUUGGAAACUGUAUAACUAGAGUACUGGAGAGGUAAGCGGAACUACAAGUGUAGAGGUGAAAUUCGUAGAUAUUUGUAGGAAUGCCGAUGGGGAAGCCAGCUUACUGGACAGAUACUGACGCUGAAGCGCGAAAGCGUGGGUAGCAAACAGG